UACGGAGGGGGCGAGCGUUAUUCGGAAUUAUUGGGCGUAAAGGGCGCGUAGGCGGCUGUACAAGUCAAAGGUGAAAUCCCUCGGCUCAACUGAGGAACUGCCUUUGAAACUGUACGGCUUGAGGCCGGGAGGGGGUAGCGGAAUUCCCAGUGUAGCGGUGAAAUGCGUAGAUACUGGGAGGAACACCAGUGGCGAAGGCGGCUACCUGGACCGGUUCUGACGCUGAGGUGCGAAAGCGUGGGGAGCAAACAGG
rnacentral:rRNA from 1 species